rnacentral:lncRNA from 1 species
AAAAUUUCAUGCGAUUUGGAUAUUUCUACACCGUUAAACUUGCAACCGGCUCACCACGGCCAUUAAAAUUAUUGAUUUUGAGUCCCUUUGAUCACUAGGCAAAUAAUAUCGAAAAAUCACAAAAAUUAUUUUCUAGGUACUUCAAAUACUCUAGAUCAACUCUAAUGGAGCCGAUCGUCGAUUCAAAAGUCCGAACAUCGAAAACAAAGUAGAAGCACGGAGGGCUCCGUGCUUCCAUAAGCAUACCAGCCUACUAUAUAUAUAUAUUCUUAUUAUUUGAUUUUUAGCAGAAUAAAAAUAUAAAGGCAAGCUUAAUUAUAAAAAAACUUAUUUAUAUGUAAAGUCUCAACCAUUAGAUCAAAGUCUAACGGAUAAAAUUUUAUAAAUUUAUUUUUUCUAUACAUAUUCAAUAUAAUUUUUUUAACUUAUUAUUCGUUGGCCAGCUCAUGAGCCAGCUCGUGUUCGAUUCGUUUAUUAACAAGCCGAACACGAGCUAAAUUUUUUUAUUCGAUAUUU